CGCCAGGGCGAGGCGACCCGGUGCGGGGGGACUCCCAUGGAGCGCCGACUCCUAAGGAAGUCGCUGGGUAUCCCACCGGCUGUACCGCGGGGCGUUAGUACCUAGAUGGCUUCGGUGCCCCCAAGCGAUGGGCUCAAGCUACAGGGCGGGCUUUGCACCUGGCCUUCUCAGCUCUGAGGCAGGCAGUGGGCAGCUUCGCCUCCACCCUCCGUCCAGCGCCCUUCCCAUGGGGCCAUCCGCCUCUCCCUAAGGCACUAAAAACCAGUGGAGGAGUCAGGCCAUGUUGGCAAAAAGGGCUCGGGCAGCAGCCCCAGACCUAUAGUCCUAAAUAUCCAUGUACCCAGCCCUGGGGUCACGAGCCAUCUCAGGGACGACCCGAUUCCAGCGGAUGGAGAAGUUCCCUGAAAACACCUGCCUGGGAGGAGAGACGAGGGAACGGGAUUGGACAGUGCUUUACCAUGGAACUGAAACCAUGAAAAGUGAAACUGCAAAUAGGAGAGACUGCUGUAUAGUCACUGAAAAAUUAAUGGAUGAGCUCAACAGCAAAUUAGACACAACUGAAACCUUGGACCCAGUGUGGAAGAUGACAGCAUCACCAACUGGAGGGUGCCUGGAUCCCUGAGUCACCACUUGAAGCGAAAAGGUCAAGAGUAGCCACCUGACCCAUAUCAGGCUAUGAAAUGAAGAGAAAAUGACACGAGGCUUUGGAACCAAGAGCUGGAGGAACCUGGAAGCGAAAGCUGAGGCUGUCAGCUGCCCAGCAGUUAACACCCUGAGACCAUCUUCCCACUUCCAACACCCACAGAAGCUGCCACCCAAGGGCCCCUGUGUCCCCGCAUGGCCCACCUCAGCAGUAUGAUGCAGCACUGGGGAAGUGACAGAAUGUGAAAAAAACUAUUAUAGCUGAGAUAUUUUAAAAUUCCGCCCUCCAGGCAGCAUCUGGUUGCUACAGCAACCCCAGCUCUGCAGGGUGUCCCGAUUACCAGCAGGCUCCCUGCACCUGCCUCAGGCUGAGAGCAGGCGGCUGCCGCCAAGGGGAACACCAAGGAAAUGCCCAUGUUCUGAUUCCAAGGUAAUGGCUCAGACCCAAGGGGAUUUUAUCUGUUCAAUGUGCAACCUGAUGAAGUUCUGUCCCAUGUUAAUAAUUUCAUUAAAAAUAUGGCCUUACAUCCUA
rnacentral:lncRNA from 1 species